rnacentral:lncRNA from 1 species
GUUGUUAAUGCCCCACCUCUGAAGUGAUUUCUUUCCUCUCUCCCUCUUUUCCUCCUUCCCUUCCUGCUUUCCUUUUCCCUUCCUUCCUUCCUUCCUUCCUUCCUUCCUUCCUUCCUUCCUUCCUUCCUUCCUUCCUUCCUUCCUUCCUUCCUUCCUUCCUUCCUUCCUUUCUUUCUUCCUUUCUUUCUCUUUCUUCCUUUCUUUCUUUCUCUCUUUCUCUCUUUCUUUCUCUCUUUCUUUCUUUCUUUCUUUCUUCCUUCCUUGCUUCCUUCCUUCCUUUCUCUCUGUCUUUCUUUUUUUCUUUCUCUCUUUCUUUCUCUCUUUCUUUCUUUCUUUCUUUCUCUUUCUUUCUGUCUGUCUGUCUUUCUUUCUUCCAUUCUUCCUUUAUUCCUUCCUUCCUUCCUUUGUUUGUUUGUUUCUUCCAUUCUUCCAUUCUUCCUUCCUUCCUUCCUUCCUUUCUCUCUUUCUUUCUUUCUUUCUUUCUUUCUUUCUCUCUCUCUUUCUUUCUUUCUUUCUUUCUUUCUCUCUUUCUUUCUCUCUCUCUCUCUCUUUCUUUCUUUCUUUCUUUCUUUCUUUCCUUUUCUUUCUUCAUCUAUUUUCUUUCUUUCUUUCUUUCCCUUUUUCUUUCUUUCUCUUUCUUUCUUUCUUUCUUUCUUUCUUUCUUUCUUUCUUUCUUUCUUUCUUUCUUUCUUUCUUUCUUUCUUUCUUUCUUUCUUUCUCCAUCCCUUUCUUCCUGUUCCUAUCAUAAGCCUUUACCCAUCUUUCAAAUAGUAGUACUUUUCUUGUUCUCCAUAAACUUCAAAGAUUAUUGCAAUCAAUUGACUGAAAUGGAUGACUCUUGCAGGACUACCUUGUGAAACAGUUUAUCCAGAAUUGAUGACUUGAAUUCAUUGACAGUAGCUUACCAUCAUCCUUGCAAACUCCUUGUUAACCAUUUUUAUUUUCUCUAUUCCCAUUUAAAGAUCAUUCUCCCUGGAAGAGUAAACAGAAGCAAUAUAUGAGUCAAAUAAAGAAGUUCUUAUUAAGAGCUCA